AUUGGGAACUAUUUGCUUCUCUUUAAUUUUUGGAGAAGUCAAGAAAUUUUUAGAAUUAGUUUAUACAAUAAUAUUUUAUGUGUUUACUCCAUUGAUACCCUGUGGUAUUUGGAAUUUGGGCUGUAUUCCUUGGGGACUCAACUUACUGGUGGGGAUAAAAGAUCAUCAUCUGGAAAUAAUGCAAAGGCAAGUGAGGAUAUAUUUAUAUAAACACACACUAACAGAGAUGAUCAUACAUCUGCAUCACCAAAGUGCAAAAAAGUUAAUUCAAACUCAUACAACAAAGAGCAGAAAAAAGAAAAAAGAUACAGCAUCUGCUUCUCUAAUCUCCCUAUGUGAUAGCUUCAUGGACUAGCUCUACAAAAGAGCAACAUCCAUGCAACUGGCUUCAGUAAAGGAGGAUUUGAGACCAUCUCAAACCAGAAACAUAAUUUGGUUUUGGUGGCGGUGAUGGGAGAUUUACCUGGAAUUCAACUCAGGAGCACUAAACCACUUGCCACGUCCCCAGCCCUAUUUUGUAUUUUAUUUAGAGAUAGGGUCUCACUGAGUUACUUAGCACCUUAUGUUUUUUGCUGAGGCUGACUUUGAACUGGAGAUCCUCCUGCCUCAGCCUUCUAACUCACUAGAAUUUUAGGCAUAUGUCACCAUGCCCAGCUAAAAAAGAUACUUAGCAAAAUGAAAUUAAACCUUUGUCUCUAACCCUACACAAAAAUCAACUCAGAGUGAAUCAAAGACUUAAGCACUAGAACAGAGAUCCUGCACCUAAUAGAAGGAAAAGUAGGCCCAAAUCUUCACCAUGUUGGCCUAGAAUCUGACUUCCUUAAUAAUACCCCUAAAGUGUAAGAAGUAAAAUCAAGAAUCAAUAAAUGGGAUGGAUUCAAAUUAAAAAGCUUCUUCUCAGCAAAAGAAACAAUUAGUAUCGUGAUUAGAGAGCCUACGGAUUAGGAGAAAAUCUUAACCACAUGCACCUCCAAUAAAGCAUCAAUCUCUACGAUUAUAAAAAACUCAAAAAACUUAAUGCCAAAACACCAAAUAACCCAAUCAAUAAAUGGACCAAGGAACUGAACAGACACUUCACAGAAAAAGAAAUACAAUUGAUCAACAAAUACAUAAAAAGUUCAACGACUCUAGCAACUAGAGAAAUGCAAAUCAAAACUACUCUAAGAUUUCAUCUCACUCUUGUCAGAAUGGAAAUCAUCAAGAAUACAGGCAACAAUAAAUUUUGGCCAGGAUGUGGGAAGAAAGGUACACUCCUAUAUUGCUGGUGGGACUGCAAAUUAGUGCAACCACUAUGGGAAGCAGUUUGGAUAUUCCUCAGAAAACUGGGAAUGGAACCACCAUUUGAUCCAUCUACCCCAUUCCGUAGUUUAUACCCAAAGGACUUAAAAUCAGCAUACUGUAGUGACGCAGCCAUAUCAAUGUUUAUAGCAGCUCAAUUCAUAAUAGCUAAACUAUGGAACCUACCUAGGUGUUGCUCAAUAGAUGAAUGGAUAAAGACAAUGUGGUAUAUAUAACUCAAUGGAAUAUUACUCAGCUUUAAAGGAAAGUAAAAUUAUGGCAUUUGCCAGUAAAUGGAUGGAGUUGGAAAAUAUCAUGCUAAACAAAAUAAGCC
rnacentral:lncRNA from 1 species